UGGGGAAUAUUGCGCAAUGGGGGGAACCCUGACGCAGCCAUGCCGCGUGAAUGAAGAAGGCCUUCGGGUUGUAAAGUUCUUUCGGUAUUGAGGAAGGUUGAUGUGUUAAUAGCACAUCAAAUUGACGUUAAAUACAGAAGAAGCACCGGCUAACUCCGUGCCAGCAGCCGCGGUAAUACGGAGGGUGCGAGCGUUAAUCGGAAUAACUGGGCGUAAAGGGCACGCAGGCGGUUAUUUAAGUGAGGUGUGAAAGCCCUGGGCUUAACCUAGGAAUUGCAUUUCAGACUGGGUAACUAGAGUACUUUAGGGAGGGGUAGAAUUCCACGUGUAGCGGUGAAAUGCGUAGAGAUGUGGAGGAAUACCGAAGGCGAAGGCAGCCCCUUGGGAAUGUACUGACGCUCAUGUGCGAAAGCGUGGGGAGCAAACAGGAUUAGAUACCCUGGUAGUCCGCGCUGUAAACGCUGUCGAUUUGGGGGUUGGGGUUUAACUCUGGCGCCCGUAGCUAACGUGAUAAAUCGACCGCCUGGGGAGUACGGCCGCAAGGUUA
rnacentral:rRNA from 1 species